rnacentral:rRNA from 1 species
AUUGAACGCUGGCGGCAGGCCUAACACAUGCAAGUCGAGCGAGCGGCGGACGGGUGAGUAAUGUCUGGGGAUCUGCCCGAUAGAGGGGGAUAACUACUGGAAACGGUGGCUAAUACCGCAUACUAUCGGCUGAACCCAUAUGGGAUUAGCUAGUAGGUGGGGUAAAGGCUCACCAAGGCGACGAUCCCUAGCUGGUCUGAGAGGAUGACCAGCAAAACUGGAACUGAGACACGGCCCAGACUCCUACGGGAGGCAGCAGUGGGGAAUAUUGCACAAUGGGCGCAAGCCUGAUGCAGCCAGGCCGCGUGUAUGAAGAAGGCCUUAGGGUUGUAAAGUACUUUCAGCGGGGAGGCGUUACCCGCAGAAGAAGCACCGGCUAACUCCGUGCCAGCCGCCGCGGUAAUAC